CACAAGCAUGGCACAGAUCUGGUGAGUCUCUUCAGCAUUUGCUCAGACCAUCAUAUCAAGUCCAGCGCUCACACACACACCAGCAUCUGAGGAGACCCCUGCUGCCUUCUGAGGACACCCCAGUGAAUAACUUGCAAAACUGCUACAGCCAAGAGUUUCAAACAGCUGCUCAAGCCCUUCAGAAAAACAAAGCUCUGAAAUCAUUAACAAACACUUGUGAUGUGCUCCCAUCUUGAAACAGAAAAUUGCUCCCCUUCAGCAGCUAACGGGGGCAAAUCUAGGAGGCAGCGGAUGCCCGUCCCGGCGGCGUGCGGCGGACGGCGGGGAUACACCUUUCCUUAUCUAUCCCUCGCUAUCAGAAAUGGAGACACUGUUAACGUUAACGUUACAAAAAUUCAGAGAACUGUGAAACCGUUUAGGAUGGGGGUGUCUGGAGCGGUAGGAACUGUGCGGGUUCUGUAUGUGGGGAGUUUUUUUAGCGAAAAAUAAAAUACAGAGAAGCUCCCUGAACAGCUCUGAGCGAUGGAUUUAUUUCGGAAACGGGCUUCAGUGACUCUGAAUUCUUACAAGCGUGUGUGUGUGUUAGUUGGGGGAAAUAUAUAAACCCACUGUGGAAAUUCUGAAUUUAUACAAGGAAAAAGUAUACUCUCUUCUAGGGCCGUCCACGCAACACAGUUGCACAAAACAGAAGACAGUUGUGAUUUUAGAAGU